UAGAUGCUGAUAAUAUAAUUAAAACCAUUCGAGUAUGUCCAGGCAGUGCUACUGAUUCUUUUAUAUGGCAAUUCAGUGAAAUUCAACAAGAGCCUUAACAACUUAGAACCAACGUAGAUGUGCUCCAAAAUGAAGGACGAUAUUAUCUCCUGGGUGAUAAUGGCUACACACCUUCUCCAAUCUUACUUACUCCAAUAGUAGGCGCACUAGAAGGCUCACCAGAAACUGACUAUACCUACGAGCACAUAACAACAAGAUUUUAAAUUAAACAGUGUUUUGGAAUCUUGACUCGUGUUUGGCUCGUUAUGAGCAGAGCACGAAAAUUGAUCUACUCUCCAGAGAAAAUUAUCAAAAUAAUUAUUACAUGUGCAAUUUUACAUAAUUAUCUAAAACUAAAUGGGAUGUUAGAUGAUGUGUCACCAUUACAACCAGAGGACGAAAAUGUUCAAAUUUAUUAGCGAGGAAACAAUUAUCAAGCUGGAUUACAAGAAAGAAAUAACGCCAUUAACAUAAAUUAUAAUUGGUGAAGAAAAUGCAUGAUUUUUACACUUGAUUUGUUAUAGAUUAAUUUUUAUUAUUUCUAUUAUAUUUGUAAAAUAUGAUUUUGUUCAAUUAAAAUAUUUGUUUUAGAUAUCAUUUGAUUAGAGCCAUCAACAAUGUAACGCGAACAUUCAAAUCUCACGGAUUCUAGAUUUUUGUAUUAUACGCGCUACUGCUGCACUUUC